GAUGAACGCUGGCGGCGUGCCUAAUACAUGCAAGUCGAGCGAACGGACGAGAAGCUUGCUUCUCUGAUGUUAGCGGCGGACGGGUGAGUAACACGUGGAUAACCUACCUAUAAGACUGGGAUAACUUCGGGAAACCGGAGCUAAUACCGGAUGAUAUUUUGAACCGCAUGGUUCAAAAGUGAAAGACGGUCUUGCUGUCACUUAUAGAUGGAUCCGCGCUGCAUUAGCUAGUUGGUAAGGUAACGGCUUACCAAGGCAACGAUGCAUAGCCGACCUGAGAGGGGGAUCGGCCACACUGAAAUGGAGAAACGGUCCAGAUCCCUAGGGGAGGGAGAAGUAGGGACUUUUCCGCAAUGGGCGAAACCCUGAGGGAGCAACGCCGCGUGGGGGAAGAAGGUUUUCGGAUCGUAAAACUCUUUUAUUGGGGAAAAACAUAUGUGUAAGUAACUGGGCAAAUCUUGACGGUACCAAAUCAAAAAGCCAGGGCUAACUACGU
rnacentral:rRNA from 1 species